UGGAAACUUGCAGGUUAAUGUUAAUCACAAUUCGUUCAUUCAACAUUGCAAACUACCCAAAUGGGUUCGGGAAAUUGGUUCAAGUCAAUAAUUUGCCUAAAGAAAGCGAAGUACAAACGAUCCAAACAAGUGAAGGUACACACAGCGAACAACAAGCCAAAUGGAUCAGAAAACAGU